rnacentral:rRNA from 1 species
GACAGAGGGGGCAAGCGUUGCUCGGAAUUACUGGGCGUAAAGGGCGCGUAGGCGGGAUGGCAAGUCGGUCGUGAAAUCCCUCGGCUCAACCGAGGAACGUCGAUCGAUACUGCUGUUCUUGAGGAUUGCAGAGGAGACUGGAAUUCCCGGUGUAGCGGUGAAAUGUGUAGAGAUCGGGAGGAACACCGGUGGCGAAGGCGGGUCUCUGGGCCAUUACUGACGCUGAGGAGCGAAAGCGUGGGGAGCGAACAGG